rnacentral:lncRNA from 1 species
CCUGUCUGCCUGCCUCACCUCUUCUCUUCUAAAUCCAGUCCUAUCAGAAUUCUGUUUUCUAAAUAGUCCCCAAAUAUUUUCACUAGUUCCCUCUUCCCGCCUCUUCACUUCACUAUAGUCCAGGUCACCAUUAUCUCUCAACUGCAGGCUCCAACUAAUCUCCAUAUGUCUACUCUGCCCCGUGCAAGUCAUCUCUAUAUGGCAGCAAGAGAGCCACCAUCAUGUGAGUUAAUAUGUAUGUAAAGUGUUUAGGCAGGGCCUGGCCCAUAUAAGUACCAUAUAUGUGUUUAUUACUAUUGUUGUAGAAAUGUAGAUUAUAUUGAGUCUUUUCCUUGUUUGAAACCCUUUUAAGUAGCUUUUCAUUCCACUUAGAUGAAAGCCAAAUGCCUUGUUGCCUGUAGGGCCCUGUGGGGCCUUAGCUGUCUCCACCCUUAUCUCUUGUCACUCUUUUGCUUGCCUGUUAUGCUCCAGACACACUGGUCUCCUCUUAGUUUCUCCAGCACUUCAGGGUCUCUCCUCCUCAGGGCCUUUGCACACUCUUCCUUCUGCCUGAAGUGCCUGUUACCAGACCUUAGCACACUCCUUUUAGUCUCUAAGUCUCAGAUUUAAUGACACCCUCUAAGAGUUACUUUCUGACCAUCAAUCUAAAGUAGCCUCUGUCUUCAGUUACUCUAAUAUAUUACCCUUUACUUUUAUUAUGUUUAUUUAUAUAAAUUUAAUCAUCUUUCUCACUGAAAUGUAAGUUUAAUUAGAGGACUUUAUUGUCUUAAUGACACAUAGUAAAAUCACUAUUAAUUGAAUCAAUUCAUUAAUGGCAAGUUUUUAUCUUCGAGAACAGCUCAGAUACCUUUUCUAUAAAGUCCUUGUCAAUUCCCUGAGGCUAAGUUGGAUGCUCCCUGUCUUGCCCUCAAAGUACCCAUUAAGAGCAUCGUAUUUAAUAUCCUACUGAAGUCCUUACGUAGUUGUCUUCUCUCUUAUAUGGUGAGUUCAUAAAGAAUAGAGAAAAUGUUUCAUUCAUCUUUCUGCCAUCCUAGUGCUUACUAAGUCUGGAUGCAUGAAAAACUCAGCAAACUCUCAAGGGUUCCUCACUAGCAGAAACCUUUCUAGUGUAUAAAACUGUUAAAUUCUCUCAUUGAUAUAGAAAACCCUUAGGUUUACUUGCAAAGAGUGAUGGUGGAGUAUCUCCUCUGCAGUUGGGUCCCCUGUGUGAAUCCGCACUAGAAACAGUUUGGCCUCAACUCAGUGAAGAUGGCUCUGUGGUGCUAAAGGCUUGUUGGAUUCUAGAGCCUGCUGGGUGCCUCUGUAGUUGUUGGGUUUGACCCAGUGAUGAUAAAUCUUGCCUCAAGUUGGCCCUUGCAUUAUCUUUCCAGCCCAGUCUUUUUGUCAUUUAGAUGAGCAUCAAGUGCCAAAGAAGAAAGUAGAGCAGGUUUUCAUGCCCUUCCCCUCCAAGGCCUCUCUUCUUAGGUGGCUUUCACACUGUAAUAACUGCACAUAUGGCCUUUGCAUUCAUUUCCACUCCUAAGUGGAAUGCUGCACUUGGCAAUUCUCUAGUGAACUGAAAAGUUUAUGGUACAGCCAGUAAGAUGCAGCAGUCUGACUUAGCGAAGAGAACUCUAGAACAAGUCAGUCCAGAAACAGAGAUUCUGCUUCUGGGACUGCCACUAACUUGUAAAGGGACCUGGGCUAUUUCCCCUCUCUGGGCCUCAGUCUUCUCAUCCAUCAAGUGGAUUAUGAUUUUAUCAAGGAAAGCCAAUUUUCAGACAAAAUCUUAAGUAGAAUUUCAGCAUAUAAAAUAGUUGUGCUGCUCUGGCUGAAAUGGAGUCCUGCCACUAGUCUCUCUCGUAGACCCCUCCUACAGCCAAAUGAUAGAAAUGGCCCCCUCCCAUCUCUGACAUUUUCAACUCAAAUCCCAGGGAACAGAUCCCGUUGGUACAAGCAUCCGAAGGAGAAAAAUUAAAAACACAUCGGUUUACUGGACUUGCUUCUUUUUCUCCCAUGAUUCUAAAACCUGGUUUCUUAUGGUUUACCACUAGGGACCUUUCUUUGCUUGUAACCCACCACCUGAGGUGUUUCUAAAUGACCAAAAAACCUGAGAGUUAAAUGACUGGAUUCUUGGAAUCUGUUCUCCCCUUUCUGCCUCUUCCUGCUCUGUUUCACCCUCAUCUUACUUAUCUUUCCUGAUGUUGAUCUUUCCUGUUGUGUUUCUAUGGCGUUCUCGUCAUUUGUUCUUCCCCUUUGUCAUGAUUAAAGCUAUGAGAACACCGUAGGUCAGAGUUUCUCCACCUGGGUUCAUGUGGCCAUUUUGGCAUUGUUUCUAUGCAGUAUGCAAGACUGUUAGCACUGUCAUUUCCUUAAGAUAAAAAUAUAGAAACACCAGUUACAGCAAGUACUUAGAAAGGGGUGAAACAGUUUUACAAAUUACAAAUCAAUUCAUUGUGACAAAGCGUUCGGUAUUCUCUUCCACUAUAAUCGCAGUCAUUGAAAGAACUGCUGUCAAAAAGCAUUGCCUGAUUUAUUCAUUUGGGCAUUUGAAACAAUGUGUUUGAGGUCUGGGAAUACUUUUAAAAAUUCAUUUGUUUUCCUCUUAAAUAGAAAGCUUAUAUAAUCACUAAUCCAAUAUAUAAAUACACAGAGCCUAAAGGACCAUUUUCUCCCAGGCCAAGUUGACUCUUGAGCCAAGUUUAGCUUUUUAACCAUGCUUGAUAUUGUUAUUCCUCUGAUAUUUCUACUUAACUUUCCUCUGCUUUCCUAUUAAUUUUCACAUGUUGCUGCUUUGGCUUGGUUGGAAAUGUCAGAACAAGAUGCCAGUGUGUCUCAGUCAGGACAUGGCUGUGUUCAAACUACUGUAGCCUGUUACUUGGCUUCUAUGGGAAAAAUACUGGGGGUGCAGUGUUUCCAGUUGGAAUUGAGAUGUAUAAAGCAUCUGCCUGAUUUCUUCAGCUAAUGAGGUUUUGCUGAAAAAUGAGUGUAAUGAAAAAAUGCUGGAUGUUGGCAGGACCUACUGAUGAAGUCUAAUGAGCAUAAAUGAGUGUUCUGUAAGGCCCCCAAAGCAGAGGCAUAGAAUGUUUCAAAUACACUGCCCUUGAGCAAGACCAGCCUGGAGGAUGCAUUUAUUUGUUGGCUCCUUUUUCUUUCCUUCUCUCCCUCCUCCCUUGCCUUUCUUUCAAUAAAAGACCUAUGUAAGCCAGACACAGUAGAUUAUUUUAUGCAAUAUAGGGCAUAUUAAAAAUAAAACUACUGGCCGGGCGCGGUGGCUCAUGCCUGUAAUCCCAGCACUUUGGGAGGCCGAGGCGGGUGGAUCAUGAGGUCAGGAGAUCGAGACCAUCCUGGCUAACACGGCAAAACCCCGUCUCUACUAAAAAUACAAAAAAUUAGCCAGGCGUGGUGGCAGGCACCUGCAGUCCCAGCUACUUGGGAGGCUGAGGCAGGAGAGUGGCGUGAACCCGGCAGGCAGAGCUUGCAAUGAGCCUAGAUCGCUCCACUGCGCUCCAGCCUGGGCGACAGGGCAAAACUCUGUCUCAAAAAAAUAAAUAAAUAAAAAUAAAACUACUUAGACUAGGGCUCAAUACAAUUGCAAAAAUUAGAAUUAUGAGCUUUACAUGCUAUAUGAUUUAACAGAAAAGGCAGUCGUUUUUAUAUUUGCUUAUCAAGAACUAAAGAAUUUAAAGUUCACAUGGAACCAAAAAAGAGCCCGCAUCGCCAAGUCUAUCCUAAGCCAAAAGAACAAAGCUGGAGGCAUCACGCUACCUGACUUCAAACUAUACUGCAAGGCUGCAGUAACCAAAACAGCAUGGUACUGGUACCAAAACAGAGAUAUAGAUCAAUGGAACAGAACAGAGCCCUCAGAAAUAAUGCCGCAUAUCUACAACUAUCUGAUCUUUGACAAACCUGAGAAAAACAAGCAAUGGGGAAAGGAUUCCCUAUUUAAUAAAUGGUGCUGGGAAAACUGGCUAGCCAUAUGUAGAAAGCUGAAACUGGAUCCCUACCUUACACCUUAUACAAAAAUCAAUUCAAGAUGGAUUAAAGACUUAAAUGUUAGACCUAAAACCAUAAAAACCCUAGAAGAAAACCUGGGCAUUACCAUUCAGGACAUAGGCAUGGGCAAGGACUGCAUGUCUAAAACACCAAAAGCAAUGGCAACAAAAGCCAAAAUUGACAAAUGGGAUCUAAUUAAACUAAAGAGCUUCUGCACAGCAAAAGAAACCACCAUCAGAGUGAACAGGCAACCUACAAAAUGGGAGAAAAUUUUCACAACCUACUCAUCUGACAAAGGGCUAAUAUCCAGAAUCUACAAUGAACUCAAACAAAUUGACAAGAAAAAAACAAACAACCCCAUCAAAAAGUGGGCGAAGGACAUGAACAGACACUUCUCAAAAGAAGACAUUUAUGCAGCCAAAAAACACAUGAAAAAAUGGUCAUCAUCACUGGCCAUCAGAGAAAUGCAAAUCAAAACCACAAUGAGAUACCAUCUCACACCAGUUAGAAUGGUGAUCAUUAAAAAGUCAGGAAACAACAGGUGCUGGAGAGGAUGUGGAGAAAUAGGAACACUUUUACACUGUUGGUGGGACUGUAAACUAGUUCAACCAUUGUGGAAGUCAGUGUGGCGAUUCCUCAGGGAUCUAGAACUAGAAAUACCAUUUGACCCAGCCAUCCCAUUACUGGGUAUAUACCCAAAGGAUUAUAAAUCAUGCUGCUAUAAAGUCAUAUGCACACGUAUGUUUAUUGCGGCAUUAUUCACAAUAGCAAAGACUUGGAACCAACCCAGAUGUCCAACAGUGACAGACUGGAUUAAGAAAAUGUGGCACAUAUACACCAUGGAAUACUAUGCAGCCAUAAAAAAUGAUGAGUUCAUGUCCUUUGUAGGGACAUGGAUGAAAUUGGAAAUCAUCAUUCUCAGUAAACUAUCGCAAUAACAAAAAACCAAACACCGCAUAUUCUCACUCAUAGAUGGGAACUGAACAAUGAGAACACAUGGACACAGGAAGGGGAACAUCACACUCUGGGGACUGUUGUGGGGUCGGGGGAGGAGGGGGGGAUGGCAAUGGGAGAUAUACCUAAUGCUAGAUGAUGAGUUAGUGGGUGUAGCGCACCAGCAAGGCACAUGUAUACAUAUGUAACUAACCUGCACAUUGUGCACAUGUACCCUAAAACUUAAAGUAUAUAAAAAAAAAGAACUAAAGAAUUAUAUUCUAUCAAAAAGCAGAUAAGGCCUGUAAUCGUAGCACUUUGGGAGGCCGAGGUGGGCAGAUCACCUGAGGUCAGGAGUUCAAGACCUGCCUGGCCAACAUGGUGAAACCUUGUCUCUACUAAAAAUACAAAAAUUAGCCGGGCAUGGUGGCACAUGCCUGUAAUCCCAGCUACUCGGGAGGCUGAGGCAUGAGAAUCACUUGAACCUGGGAGGCAGAGGUUGCAGUGAGCUGAGAUUUCGCUGCUGCACUCCAGCCUGGGUGACAGAAGGGAAACUGUCGCAAAAAAAAAAAAGAAAAAGCAGAUAAGAAAAUAGGUUUGUAAACAAUGCUUGGA